rnacentral:rRNA from 1 species
CACGUAGGGCGCAAGCGUUGUCCGGAAUUAUUGGGCGUAAAGAGCUCUUAGGUGGUUUGCUGCGUCCGCUGUGAAAACCCAAGGCUUAACCUUGGGCUUGCAGUGGAUACGGGCAGACUAGAGGUAGGUAGGGGAGAAUGGAAUUCCCGGUGUAGCGGUGAAAUGCGCAGAUAUCGGGAGGAACACCGGUGGCGAAGGCGGCUACCUGGACCAGCACUGACACUGAGUCACGAAAGCGUGGGGAGCAAACAGG